GACGUAGGGAGCGAGCGUUGUCCGGAUUCAUUGGGCGUAAAGAGCGCGCAGGCGGUUUGGUAAGUCGGAUGUGAAAGCCCGGGGCUCAACUCCGGAACUGCCUUUAAGACUGCAUCGCUUGAAUCCAGGAGAGGUGAGUGGAAUUCCGAGUGUAGAGGUGAAAUUCGUAGAUAUUCGGAAGAACACCAGUGGCGAAGGCGGCUCACUGGACCGGCAUUGACGCUGAGGUGCGAAAGCGUGGGGAGCAAACAGG
rnacentral:rRNA from 1 species